rnacentral:rRNA from 1 species
UGUCCUUUUGAUUAUAAUUUAAGGUCUAAUCUGCCCACUGAAGUUUUAAAUGGCCGCGGUAUUUUGACCGUGCAAAGGUAGCAUAAUAAUUAGUUUCUUAAUUAGAAGCUGGAAUGAAAGAUUGAAUGAGAAAAUAACUGUCUCAAUUUAAUUUAAUUAGAAUUUUAUUUUUAAGUUAAAAAGCUUAAAUGUAGAUAAAAGACGAGAAGACCCUAUAGAGUUUAAUUUUAUUUUUAAAUAAAAUUUUAUUGAUUUAAAUUUUUUUAUUUAAAAAUAAAAUUUUGUUGGGGUGACAAAAAAAUUAAAUUAACUUUUUUUAUAUAAAAACAUUAAUUGAUGAAUAAUUGAUCCAAAAAUUUUGAUUAUAAGAUUAAAUUACCUUAGGGAUAACAGCGUAAUUUUUUUUAAGAGUUCUUAUCGAAAAAAAAGAUUGCGACCUCGAUGUUGGAUUAAAGUUUAAUUUUGGUGUAGAAGCUAAAAAUUUAGGUCUGUUCGACCUUUAAAACUUU